AGUAUUAUCAUGAAGACGGUGAUUGAUCUGGAUAGACCAGCACACAGAUCGCUUUCUUUGGGGUAGAUGAGUCUCUGAUCUACAGUGUAGAGAUGCUGAAUGACAAGUGCGGAUAGUUGUUAGAGAAUGACUAGUACUGAGUAUGACCAUACGAGAGAUCACUUAAAUUUUUAAUCGAUCGUCAGUGAUUGUCUCAAUACUAUAGUUGUGUAAAUGGUCCUUUGAUCUGUGAU
rnacentral:lncRNA from 1 species